AAGUCGUAACAAGGUUUCCGUAGGUGAACCUGCGGAAGGAUCAUUAACACGUAUCCAACGUUAAACCCCCCGUGAACCUUCAUUGUGCUCCCCCAUUCCGUUAGGACGCGGCAAUCCCCUAUCACCUUUGCAUGAAAACGGGCCUGCGCUUAAUUGUGCGGCCACCAAACUCGAACAACUGUUAACAAUGGAUAUCUUGGUUCUC
rnacentral:misc_RNA from 1 species